AGAUUGAACGCUGGCGGCAGGCCUAACACAUGCAAGUCGAGCGGUAGAGAGGUGCUUGCACCUCUUGAGAGCGGCGGACGGGUGAGUAAUGCCUAGGAAUCUGCCUAGUGGUGGGGGAUAACGUUCGGAAACGGACGCUAAUACCGCAUACGUCCUACGGGAGAAAGCGGGGGACCUUCGGGCCUCGCGCCAUUAGAUGAGCCUAGGUCGGAUUAGCUAGUUGGUGAGGUAAUGGCUCACCAAGGCGACGAUCCGUAACUGGUCUGAGAGGAUGAUCAGUCACACUGGAACUGAGACACGGUCCAGACUCCUACGGGAGGCAGCAGUGGGGAAUAUUGGACAAUGGCGAAAGCCUGAUCCAGCCAUGCCGCGUGUGUGAAGAAGGUCUUCGGAUUGUAAAGCACUUUAAGUUGGGAGGAAGGUUGUAACGUUAAGUACGUUAGCUAACGUUUGACGUUUAACCGACUAGAAUUAAGACACCGGCUAACUUCGUGCCAGCAGCCGCGUAAC
rnacentral:rRNA from 1 species